rnacentral:rRNA from 1 species
UGGGGAAUAUUGCACAAUGGGCGAAAGCCUGAUGCAGCAACGCCGCGUGAGGGAUGACGGCCUUCGGGUUGUAAACCUCUUUCAGCGGGGACGAAGCGCAAGUGACGGUACCCGCAGAAGAAGCGCCGGCCAACUACGUGCCAGCAGCCGCGGUAACACGUAGGGCGCGAGCGUUGUCCGGAAUUAUUGGGCGUAAAGGGCUCGUAGGCGGUUUGUUGCGUCGAAAGUGAAAAUCCGGGGCUUAACUCCGGACUUGCUUUCGAUACGGGCAGACUAGAGGUAGGCAGGGGAGAGUGGAAUUCCUGGUGUAGCGGUGGAAUGCGCAGAUAUCAGGAGGAACACCGGUGGCGAAGGCGGCUCUCUGGGCCUUACCUGACGCUGAGGAGCGAAAGCGUGGGGAGCGAACAG